CUUCUUGUUCUCUUUUGGCUUAAGCACCUUCUCUACCCCUUUAAUGUUAAGAAAUCUUAAGAGCCUGUGGUCUUCUUCACUUCUGACUCAGUAUUUUCUCCCUGGUUGAUGUCAUUCAUUCCCAAGGUUUCGACUCCACCGAUUUCCUAAUAAUUCCAAAAUCUGUAUCUUCAGCUCAGAUUUCUUCCUUGAGCUUCUGACUCCUAUAUUCAGCUGCCUGAUGGGUACUUCCACCUGGAUGAUCUAAAUAAACUUUAGCUUAACAUUUCUAAAGCCAACUCAUUAUUUUCCCAUCAAAUCUACUUCUUUUGUUUACUCUCCCAGUUGGUGGUUCCAUUAUCUUCCUGAUCACUCAAGCAUAGAACCUGGAUUUUUUUCUUCACUCACACCUAUUUACCAUCAGUUAAGGAAAGCUGAUAUUACUUCCCUUUCCUAUUACCACUGUUUUUGUUCAGUUCCUAAUCCUCUCUAACCUCAACCAGCCACAACCUCCUGUUAUCACCCCUGCCUCUCAUUUUGUCCACAUUCAAAUCUAGCCACCAAAGUAAUCUCUCUGAAGCACAAAUAUUACCAUCAUUCCCUUGCUUAAAAAUCCUUCAGUUGCUCCUGAUAGCUUUCAGAGUAACGUUUACAUUCCUUAAUGUGGUAUACACGGAAGGCCCUUCGAUCUGCCUCCUGUGUGUCUCUGCCUUAUGCUUCAUACUGCACAGCAGCAAUCUCCUCGUAGUUCCUUGUUCUCACCGUUGCUCUUUUGCAGGCAUAGCACAGUACCUGGCAUGGAAUAGGUGCUCAUUAGGUGAACGAUGGUGAAAUGUAUCUAGACCCACUGGACUAGAAGUAUCCCAGGUUCAGAGCUUCUAGAAUAGGAUACUAGAGAACCAACUUAAUUAGAGAACCUAGAAGUUCCCUUAACUGAGGGGGUGUGUGAACCUCACUGACAUUAUAAAAUUCUUUUCUGCUCUUGGCUUUUUGGUGAGGGACUUGAACUGCAGCGCUGUCCUCGGGUUCAGGAGACUUAGACUAGUCUUCGAUCUGUCACUUGGGGCAACUCCCAGCCCAUCGUUAGGCCAAGAACCAGUGGGUGAGCAAGGCAGUUAAGAGAAUGGGCUCUGGAGCCAGGCUGCCGGGUUGGAAUUCUAGCUGCUCCUCUCAGUAGUUAACCUCUCCUUGUCUCAGUUUCUCUGUCUGUACAAUGAGUGUAAUAAUAGUCCCUGUCUCACAGAAUUGUUAAAUUAGAUCAGUUAACAUAGUGCCUCAUACAGAGGAAGUGCUGAACUGCCUAGAUUCCUCUGCCCCUAGGCUCCCAGAGCCCUCAUCUUGCUCCUAGAACUCCUGGACAGCCAUAAUAUCCCUUCUUGCUCCUGGCUUGUUUCCAUUCUCCCAGACCUCUAUCUUUGAGAAUCCAGGUCUGUGCUGAGGUCUGAUUGAUGAUCAUUGUGUCAUCUCGUGGGAACAUCUGCUUAACUGUCACCCUUCCUGGACAGGCAGAGUUGCCCCAAGAAGUUGUGCCCUUGAUAGUUGUAAUGUUGAGUCUCUUUCAGUUCUGUCUGUUAGAGCCUGUCUGGGCAAAAGUCUUUUGGGCCCAGCCCUUGGAAGCACUCCAGCUGAGCCCAGGCCCAGGCCACUCCCCUGAUUUAUGCUGGAUUUCCCCAUAUAAAAUGGACAGAAGUAGAUAUUUCCAUCAUUCUAGACAUGUUCAUUUUUAUCUGCUUACUUUCCAAGAUGACAUAUUUAAAGUUAGCGCCUAAGUGCUAAAGAGGCUGUCAAAAAUAGAAGGUGCAGAGUCAAGACACUCUGGGACAUGACCUUUCCCAUGAGAUGUGCUUUACCCUAGUGCCACACUGCUGCCCUCCUUCCCUUCCUCAGUUUCUUUCCGUGUUUCUCCAAGUGGUAUUUUAAUUUUUUGCAACUCUGGUGGAAAAGAAAAUGGCAAGCCCACCGCACAGGUCCAUUUCUUCUGGUCCUAAUCCUGGGCAGAGCCACUUAUGUCCUGAAAUUAGGUAGAUUCAGAGAAGAGACAGCAAUAAGGCUCACUUAAUAAGUCACUUAGCUAUCUGUCUGCACCAAAGUUCCUCAAGGUGUGACCCAAGCAAUACCUCUUAUUAUAGUUACCUUGGGGAGUAGGAGAGUUGUUAAAAUGCAUAUUCCUGCGUCCUUCCCUUAUCCUAUAGAACCAGUGGCCUGAGAUUAAGUGUUGUGAACAAGCUUAUUGGGUGACUCUUAUGCUGACUGAAGUUGAGAAUCAUGGCCUUAGAGGCUGGGUUUCAGAUUGAGAUGGCCUGGAUUAGGGACUGCAGUCUGGCGGAGGGCUGAGCAACCUUACUGAGUGCAACUUGGGAAGGUGGUUGGGGUUCAGCCCACAACAUCCCACUUAAACAUCCAGGUUUUCAUAAGUAGCGUGUUCUUGAGACUGUGCUGGAGAUGGAGGAGGAUGUGGGGCAUCCAGCAGCCAUCCUGCCGGAAGGUAGAGAGCACAGAAGUAAUGACCCGUCUUCCUGCCCCCAGCCGCAAGUGAUGGAAUUAGUCAGGUGGGUCUGACCCAAACGUGUACCAUCCUCACCUUAGCUUCAUUCAUUCAGCAGAUAUUUUUUGAGCACCUCCUAUGUGUCAGGCAGUUAUUGGUGCUUGGGAUACAUUCACGAGCAAAGCAGGGAUCCCUGCCCUUGUGGAGCUUACAUGCCAGAGCUCCCCAAAGGGCCAUGCAAGAAAAGGUGGGCUCACUCUGUGGCAGGAGGCUGAAUGUUCAGAAGCUCAGGGAGGCUCUGGGCCCCGGCAGGUCUCCGAGGCUGGCUCUGGGAUCUCCUCAUACUAGUGAGUCAUGUGUGCCUGCAUGUUGAAGACAGUCUGUCCUCUUAGACCUCUGACGGAGAGGUUAAGUGACUUCAGGGACUCCAGAUGCCAAAGUGAGAAGGACAGGAAAAGGGAAAGUUGCUAGGAAGACAGUAGGAGAUAUCCCCAGAGACAUUUGGGGUUUCCUGACCAGAAUGGGAUUGAGGCAAUGGAGUAGAAGUUUUGGGCUGAUAGCAGUGGUAUAUAGUGGGGGGUAGGGGGCAUCCUAGAAGAGAAGUUCUGAAUCCAGGUCAUCAGGAACACCUAGGAGAUUUUGUAAAACAUAAAUUCUGCCCCCAUCCCCACUACUACAGGAAGACAGAAUCAACUCUCCAGAGGCACGUAGAGGCUGCAGGGUUCCAAAGGUGGAAAUAAAGGCAUAAAGCAGCAGUGGAAAAGACCAGGCCCAGGCCUUAGUCAACAGAGGGAAAGGGGUCUGCGUGAAGCUCUUUAAGGGCAUAUGUAACCGAUAAACCCCAUGCUGGCCUUGUCCUGGAGUUUUAGCAACAGAAAAUAGAGAAAUGGAGCUAGGCUAAAGGUCAGGAAAUGUUGGUCCUAAUGUCAGUGCUGUCAUUUAGUGGCUCUGUGACCUUGGACAAAUCACUUCACCUCUCUGAGUCUCAGUUGCUUGAUCUGUAAAAUUCAGGAAUUAGACUUAUUGGUUGCUAGGGUCUCUUUCCAGCUCUGAAAGCCUGGGUCUGUGACUCUAAAGAGUGAUAUGGUUUUGCCAGCUUUAGCUGGUGCAUUAUGUUUGGAGGACCAGAGCCUGGUGCCGCCCCUUGUUUAUGGAGUAUUGGGACUUAGCUGACCUGGGGCCAGCUAAUCCAUUUGCCAGCUUCCAGGCCAGAACCACCUCUGAUCACUUGGUAGAAUUUUCCCCAAAGCGGAACACUGCUUCUGUGGGAAUAAUGUUAAUUAAGUUAGAAAAUUUAGAAAUGAGAGUUCUGUGGCCCAUUGAGUUUGAGUAUCAGUGAGUUAGACACAUUCAACAGCUUUUUUUUCCAGGACUUCUCAGAGCGUCUCUCACCCCAAUAUGCAUUUUGAAUCUCUUAAGAGGGGGGAAUACACAGUAUUUCCCAAACUAAUUUGAUUGUGGGAUCCAUUUUUCUGAGGAGCAUCUCAUCAGAUUAGUGUUUCAUAGAGCACCUCCAGAAAGAAGUUUCACCUCUCUUUCUUUAAAAACAACAACAGAAAGUUAGAUGGCCCUUACUCACUUUUUCCCAAAUUCUUGACCUUCAAAAAGGGUAGAAAUGUCCACUUUUUCUACUUGAAUCCUAGAGGCUGGCAGUCUUGUCACAGUCUUUCUAGGGCAGCCUUGUAGGCAGUGCCAGUGAUUUUGUGCUACUUGCUGUUGAAUUCCCAUUGAGUUGACACCCCUCCUGGGUCCCCAGAUCAAACCCCCACGCCUCCCUGCAGCACAUGCUCACCUUGACAGAGAGAUGGAGAAGGGCAAGUCAACAGGGGCUCCUCUGAGCCUAGAGCCUUCUCUUGGUGACCUGGUCUGGGGGUCGCUGUGGCUGGACUAACAGGGAGUAGCUGUUGACUCUCUGGUUUGUGGUUGCUUGUCUAUAAGAGACAGGAAAAAAGUUGCCACAGUCCCCCAGCCUAGGAAUAUAUACUUCUCAAGGCUGGGCCAGGCUGGAAGGUGAGCUUAGGAAUGAGGAAUUCGCUGUCUUAUUUGGGCAGGAAAGGCUGAGUUGUACUCAUUUGGACUCGCACACUUUUUAUACCCCAUUUCCCACGCCCCAGUCUUGUCGUUCUGCCCUCUUUCUCCUUUGUCCUUCUUCUGGUUCUUACCAUCUCCCCCCAGUUCUUCUAAGCAGACAGACUCUCCUUCCUCCUCCCCCAUCCCAAUCUCCCAAUCUCUUCUUCACACCCCCUCUGCCCCCCCAGCCUGGCAGCCAGCCCUGUAGGAAUGUUAAUUAGCAUUCACGAUUUAAUUAAUUCAGUAGCUAAUUAAUGAUUGGGGACUGGGGGGUGGGGAGCUGGGGUGCAAGGGAGAUGGGGGCUGGAGGUGGCAGGGAGAAGUAGCGGAGGCUGCAGAAGGCAUCGCAGAUGGCUGUGCGGUGGCUGGCACGGUGCCCACCGCCAUGGAUGCACUCACUCACGCGCACGCACACGUACACACACACACACACACAAAAAGGAAAGGGUGAUCGAGGAAUAAAAUAAAAGCAGGGAGAGAAGGGCACAGGGGCCCUGGGAACUGGGGGUGGGGAAGGCUCUAGAUCUGUUUGAACCUGCUCCGGAAGUGGAAGAAGAGAAAAAAAGAAACCACCACAGGCGCAGAGAGAAGAGAGCUCUCCCGAUACCCCCCCACCCCCCACCCCAGGCACCCCUCCUCUCUGGCAUGGGAUUCAUGGGCACCAGCUGAGGACAGGGGCCCCUCCCUCUUCCUGCCAUAAAUAUUGGCACAGAGGACUCAGUCUCAGAAGGACAGGACAUUCCCAAAGAAAAUAGUUUUCCUUUUAAGUUGCUUUUUAAAAUAUAUAUGUAUAUAUUUUUUAAAACAUUGCACCCGUUUUGGUGUGAGGGCGAAGGCGAGUAAAAGAAGGUGACCGAGCCAGGAGGAGAGAGCACAGAUGGCUUGGUGGUGGUAUGGUGUGGUGAGUUGUGGGGAGGAGGAGAGGGGUCGGGCAGAGGUUGGGGGUGGGUGGAAUGAGGACCCUGUUUUCCUCUUUUCGUUUUGCUGUGGAUGAAGGAGAGAGAGUGAAAGAGAGAGAAAGGGGGUGGAGAGAGAAGUGAGACAGAUGGCAGAGGGGAGAGGCGGCAGCCAGUGCCGGCACUGCCCAGCUUGGGCGGACCCAGCUCCCCCCGCCUGCCAGCUUUCCAAAUGCCACCCUUCCCCCAUCCUCCCCUCUCCCCAUCCCCCCAGCUUGGCACUGAUCUCGGAGAGAGAGGGAGGGAGGCUGGGCAAAGAGCAUCUGUUCCCUCCAUUCUCCCAGCUCCAUCCGCUGCCAACCUAGGGCCAUCGUCUGCCUCCAUCACCCCUCCGCCCGCCUGCCCGCCCGCCUACCCACCCAAUCCCAAAUGGGUGCUGGAUCAGGUGCCGAACCUGGCUGCCUCCUCGGGUAGACCAGUCACUAUGCAUUGCUGUGUGUCUGCCACCGCUGCCUGGCACUCAUGGGGCCGUGUGUGUGUGUGUGUGUAUGUGUGUGUGCGCGCAUGUACAUGUACGCAUAAGUGCGUGCUGUAUGUGAGCCUCCUGGGCAUGGGUGGGGGUUGGCACUGCGGUUGCCAAUCUAGUGUCCAACCAGAAGGACAGAGGGAUGAAAUGGAAGAAGGAAGGGAGAUGUUGAGGGCCUGGGAGGGCAGAAGGGUGCAUGAGUUGCUCCACGCUGCCUGCUUAGAGGCAUUGGCAUUGCAGCUGCCAUCCUCGUGCCCGCGGAGGUGGGAGGAGGUGAACGGGGAGAGGGCGGCGGCAGGAGUCCUGGUGCUCUGGGUGGAAGGCUCAGUACCCGGGAGCCAUUGGCAUCACAUCGCCAGGCUGGUGCCCUGAGCUGGGGCCGUGGCAACAGGGGCCCCAGCAGACAGAGAGGAGGGGCAGGGAUGUGUUGCUGAUAUUGUUGUCCUCCUAGGGCACAGCUUUGAGAACUGGUUGGACUAUGAGUAGUUAGUCCUCUUCCAGUUGGGGAAAGUAAAGUGGUGGAAAGAGUAGCCAGGGAAGUGCCAAGCAAGCGCCGAAGAGCAAGGAGGAGGGGUCUUGCCACUGCUCCCCAGGAGAGCGCGUGGGCUGGCAGUCUGGCCCUUUGUCAGAGCACUGAAGGAGAGGAAGGGGCCUGGGUGUGAGGUGUGUGGUGCUGGCACUGCCCAAGGAGCCUGGCACAGGCUCUGGCAUUGUGUGGAAUGGGGGAGGAUGGCAGUGUCUCUUGCCAAUCUGCUUGAGAGGGUUGUUGUGCCAGGACUGAGAAGGGAGGGAGCGAGAUAUUGGGGGUGGGGUGGGGUUUGUGUAUGUGUGAGUUGUUUGGGAGAACAGACUUUUUUCUGCCAGGACCUCCUACCCGUUCCCUCUUAGGCAUGGGAGUGGAGCGACAGACGGAGAGAGGCGUGAGGACACAAAGGAGGAUGCGCGCCAUUGCCAAGACCCCAAGGAAGAAGGAUGGAGAGUGCUGGCAGUCCUGCCUGGCCCCCAGCCAGUUUCCUGCUGAAGAUGGCCAAGUCCUCUUCCUGUUCUGAUUUCAGCAUCUCUGGAAGUGGAUGGCAGCUUCAGAAGAAGCAGGGUGGUUUCCGCAGCAGAGGAAGCAGGGGGCACGCAGCCAAAGGAGCCUGAAACAAAGGAAGUCCACAGGAGGAGACUGGAGAUGGGAAGAAUCAAGGAAAAAGAAGGAGGGGGAUUAGAGGGAGAUGUUCUUUCAAGUCCAACUCCUCCCAACCUCCCACUCACCUGAAUUGAAAGGAGAAGGCAAGUUCCAUGAGAGCAGGAACUCUGUCUGCUUUAUUUAUCACUCCAUCAUCAGCACCGAGGAAGAUGCCUGCCACUGUCAAUACAUGUCUGUUGAAUGAAUGAACUCGGGGAAAGACCCUCAGAUUUUCCACGACCUGAAGAGAUGAGGCAGCCAAGAAACAGAGACGUUGAGUGGGCGGCUGAUUGUCACACAGCUCCAAGGUGGUAAAACUAGAAAACGACUGGCAGGGCACAGAGCUAUACCCCAAAGCUGUGGCAUGGGCUCCUCUAUCCAGCUGGACUGUCCCUCAAACACAAGUACAGGCAAAAAAAAAACACAGUACAGGGGGAAAAAGACAGUACAGGUGAAGGUCUAGGAAUCAGUAUUCCUGGGCUGCCUCCAGCUGACAGAAGCCCCAAGCCUCCUAUGCUGCUUCCAACUUUUUGAUCUUGAUCCUCCCCUUCAACUCACCACUGCCCAUGCCUCCCCAUCCCCUGCCUCUCCCAGUGUCCCAAGUGGCCUACAUCCUCUCCACUUCUCCAUAUCAGCAGAUCUCUAAUGACUAAACCUUUUGCCCUCAGGCCAGAGUGCUUCCGGGAACGGCUGAGGGGUGUGGCCUCUCCUUCCUUGGGCCACCUCUAACCCUCACCUUCAGAUUCCUGGAUUUGGAAGGGGACCUUGGUCUGGCUCCACCCAGCCUGCAGGCCCCCAUCUCUACUUCCCUCCUCCUACUGGGGGGCUAGCCAGGCGUGAAGUAAAGCCAUUAAGGAGCUCCACGUGGGGCUGGAUCAGCAUGCUAAUGAAAAUGCAAAUCAGUACCUGGUCUAGGGGUGGAGGGGAUGGGGGCACUGGGAGAACCAAAAGGGGAGUAAAGGAAUUGGAUGGAGUGGGGGGUUACCCUAGAUAAGCAGAAAGCAGAAGCCCUGAAGUUGGGAGAGAAUGGUAUUCCUCCCACGGCGUCCUUGGGGUGGAGGAUAAGUGUGCAGGUUUGUGAGGGUCUGACAUUCAGUCACCCCCCCCCCCCCCACUGGGGGCCCACCGCCCUUUUACUGCCCCACCUGGUGGGAAGAGUCGAGGUUGGGCCAGAAGGGUCUUUUUGGGCCCUGUCGCUGAGGGCUGGGCGGCACGGGGGGAAGACCUAAGCUCCAGAUCCUCUCUCCAGAGCAUCUGCUUCCCAGGACGGGAACCAGACAGCGGAUUCCUGGCUAGAAACCCAAGGGGCUUAGCUUUGGGCCAGCACAUGGGUGAGACCUAGAUCACCGAGGUGGGGUCAGCAGCCCUUUAAAAUUGCAAAUCUCUUCCCCACCUUCCAACCUACCCCUCCUCCUCUUCAGGGAAGAAUUUCAAUUGCAAAUUUAUCUCUGCCUCAGUGCAUCCCCCCAAUGCCCUGCCCCUUUCUCUGUGCUUCUCCCAUCACCCACUAUUUAUUACAAACCUUUAACUGCAGCAAAUUUUUUUCCCUCCCUCCAUUUCCCUUCUCCUCAGUCUUUCCUUUCUUCCCUCUUUGAAUCUCUGUGCCCCUUUCUUUGCCCUUCCUAGCUUGAACUCCAUCUUUCUGGAGAUGAUGCAGAACCAGAUGACAGCCUAAGCCAUCCCCCGCCUACACCCCCAGGCCAGUCUUGUUCUGACCACGGCCAUUCCUCCUUUAUUCCGGGCUGUCCUUAAGGGCAUCCCCUCUCCCUCAAGGCACAUCUUAGCUGUGGGAAAAGGGAGAAGGUGACCCCUCAAAGGCCCUGGCAUUUCCCCCUCUGGAGGAGGGAAGGAGGAAGGGGGUGGAUUGGCUGUAGGCUGGAGGUGGGGGGACAGUCAAAAGCAAGGGCCUGGGUAGAGGCAGGGCUGGGGCCCACAAGCAGAGGGGUUAGGGGAGACAGCAGGCAGUGGCGGUGGGGUGAUUAGAGUGAAGAUUGAUGUGAAGGGGCGCCACAGACGGCAGAGAGAGUCAAUAAAACGAGAGGAUCACAUUAGAGGCGACAGAGAGAGCUUUAAAUUACAAGGCUGCUGCCACCGAGGGGGAGGGCAGGAGGCAGGCCUGGAGCCAAGGGAGGGCGGAGAGUUCCGAGGGUGUCGUCAUCCCCGGAGAUGAAUCUUCCAGUUCCAAAAUGGCCCUCAGUCUCCAGAGCUCCCUUGCUGCCCCUUCACUCCCUCCUCCCUGCGUAAUGCUUCCUUCCCUGACAAGGGUGAGGAGAGGAGAAAGGGGAAGAUGGAGAGAAAGCAAUGGAAAAACAGGGGUGUUUUUUUGGUAUUGCCCUUUUCCUCCUUCCAGAUCGGCUCUCUGGUUAUCCUCAGGAUGGGAGGGGAAGGACGGAAGUGCUACUUUCAAAGCUCAGCUAGGGAGCUGUUCCCCAACAAGCAAACAUAAUCACUGAGCUGUAAAUGUUCUUCCAUGGGUGGUGAGAAGAAAGGCACCCCGUAAACAGCUGGACAGGAACUCUGACUUCUCAAUAUGUGCUCCCUGUUCCGGGGGUAGAUGCACAGUAUUUAGGACAGGAAGAACUACGGAACGAGGAGGCUCCCAGACAGACAGUAGGACCCAGAAAGCUACGGAGAAAGAUGUUAUGAGACAGACGGAGAGGCUUGGACUUGAAGUUGUGGAAAGCUGCAAGGCGGGCUUUGUGACCACAGAGACAGGGAGGGCACAGGGAGACUGAAGAAGCAGAGAAUUACAGGAGUCAAGGGGCAGGGCAAGGAAAGAUCAAAGAAACAGGCCUGAGGAAGGAGAGACUGUCCCAUGCCUCGGAGGAGCCAGGGCGUGGGUUCGGUUACCGGGCAGGACUGGAGGCAAGACCGGCAGGGAUGCUGCCUCGGAAGCCCCCAGCAGGCCAGGAGUCCCCUUGGGUAGAGCCCCCUCCUACGUCUGGCGACCAGGAGAGAAGCAACACCACUGCUCCCUAGUGGUUACAGAGGGAACAUCACCAAGGAGGGGACAGGCCUGACGGGACACAGAUUGGCUUUCUCCUUCCGGCUCUGCUCCUUAAAACAAAAAACAGAAACCCCUCUCUCUUCUUUUCUCCAAACCCAACGACACAGCAAGGCUCCUUUCCCAGCUGAGUCUGCCAGAGGGCACCAACACGUCUCCUUAAAGUUUGCAUACAAUGAUUUCCAGAUCAGAGCCUUCCACACGUUUUUGCCUUUUACUUUUCCAAUUGUUCCGUCUAUCCUCUCCCUCACUGAGAGCUGAUUUUCUGAACCUUUCCUUUUCUCUUCCCUCUCUAAAGUUCUUGCCCACGGCACUGCUCUCUGCCACACUCAUUUUGCCCUCAUCUUUCUCCCCUUUCCGUCUCUACCCGUUGCUUUCAAGAGGAGGCAGCCAUGGAGAGGAGGGGAGAGACACAGGAAGGAUGGAGUGUGUGUGCCCUUUGUAAGGGGGGUUGUUUGGUAUAAACAGCCAAUAAACUCUAACUAGAUGAGCUUUAUUCUUUACGGCAGUGGAAGAACAUGGGCUUUGGAUUCAUGCAGACCCAGCUGCAGUCCUGGCUCCCCGCUCACCAGCUGUGCCACCUUGGUGAGUCACCCCUGGAGUCUCUGUUUCCUUAUCUGGGAAAAUGGGAAUAAUGAGACCUUUCUUCCCCGGCUGUUGGGAAGUCUGGCCGAGGAAACAUCAGAAGUGCUAGUGGCUGUUCAGUCAAGUUGGUUCUUUUCCUUCUCUCUUGGCAUCUCUCGCCACAGAGCAGGGUGUUUGCAGGUAGGCUGACGACUUCCUUCUGCCUUGCCCCUUCUUGACCAGGACUCAUCCUCCAGUCUCUGCCUUUUCAACUGAGGGCAGAUUCUUUGUGGGCAGGAGUUAAAUCUAGUCUACCCAGCCUCAGAGCUCAUUUCACACUUGGCCCUCUUGGUUGCUGGGCCUAGAGACUCCCCACUAUCCCACAGCAAAGACUGAAAGCUUUGCCCGGGCUCACACUUGGCCUGCGUGCAGAAGCAGCUAAUACCCACAUCAAAACUAGGAUGGCCUCUUUCUGCAUUUAAAACUAUCAUUGUCUCUGUCUCUAAAUCUUACCUUCUAUAUUUAAAAAGAAAGCAAAAAGGUACUCCUAUUCCUCCAUUUUUAUUUAUUUAUUUAUUUAUUUUAAAGAUUGGCACCUGAGCUA